rnacentral:rRNA from 1 species
AACGAACGCUGGCGGCAGGCUUAACACAUGCAAGUCGAGCGCCCCGCAAGGGGAGCGGCAGACGGGUGAGUAACGCGUGGGAAUCUACCCAUCUCUACGGAAUAACGCAUGGAAACGCGUGCUAGUACCGUAUACGUCCUUCGGGAGAAAGAUUUAUCGGAGAUGGAUGAGCCCGCGUUGGAUUUGCUAGUUGGUGGGGUAAAGGCCUACCAAGGCGACGAUCCAUAGCUGGUCUGAGAGGAUGAUCAGCCACACUGGGACUGAGACACGGCCCAGACUCCUACGGGAGGCAGCAGUGGGGAAUAUUGGACAAUGGGCGCAAGCCUGAUCCAGCCAUGCCGCGUGAGUGAUGAAGGCCCUAGGGUUGUAAAGCUCUUUCACCGGUGAAGAUAAUGACGGUAACCGGAGAAGAAGCCCCGGCUAACUUCGUGCCAGCCGCCGCCGUAAGAC